GAUGAACGCUGGCGGCGUGCCUAAUACAUGCAAGUCGAGCGAACGGACGAGAAGCUUGCUUCUCCGAUGUUAGCGGCGGACGGGUGAGUAACACGUGGAUAACCUACCUAUAAGACUGGGAUAACUUCGGGAAACCGGAGCUAAUACCGGAUAAUAUUUUGAACCGCAUGGUUCAAAAGUGAAAGACGGUCUUGCUUUCACUUAUAGAUGGAUCCGCGCUGCAUUAGCUAGUUGGUAAGGUAACGGCUUACCAAGGCAACGAUGCAUAGCCGACCUGAGAGGGUGAUCGGCCACACUGGAACUGAGACACGGUCCAGACUUCUGCGGGAGGCAGCAGUAGGGAAUCUUCCGCAAGGGGCGAAAGCCUGACGGAGCAACGCCGCGUGAGUGAUGAAGGUCUUCGGAUCGUAAAACUCUGUUAUUAGGGAAGAACAUAUGUGUAAGUAACUGUGCACAUCUUGACGGUACCUAAUCAGAAAGCCACGGCUAACUACGUG
rnacentral:rRNA from 1 species